UAGAACUAUUGUUUUAAGUUUUAGUCUUUCUCCUUGGAAAAAAAUUCAUACAUAUUAAUCUAAAUAAUUGCCAGAUAUGGGAUUGUUUAUUGAUUUCAAUGGGAAUAAGAGAAGAGAAAGGUAGACUUUAUCACAUAAAUUGAAGUCAUAUAUUGCAAGGGUCCCAAAAUGAAUCAAUGAAAAUAAGAUACAAAAUUCUUACAAGAAUUUAUUCUUCAACUUCAUUGAUUAAAACGUGGUAGUUGGUACAACAAAUAAAGACACAUUCUAUUUACAUACUUGUCACAUAAAAAUAUUUUUAUUAUUUAUUUUUACAUAAAAAUAUUUUUAUGUGUAAUUUUAGACAUUUAAGCCGACAGAGAAAAGGGAUUAAAACAUGGAUUGAUUAUAAUAAGGGUUUUGUUAAAUUAAUAUGCUUAUAUAUUUCACUUGAUGAACACGUGGCCUGUUUAGGUUCAUAAAAAUAAUUAAACUGAUAAUAAUUGCCUUUAUUAGACUAACCUGGAUGAUUGCUUUGAUGUUGUCAUCAGUUAAAAGAUAUUCAGAAUCUUUUUGUUGAAACUUGAGAAGAACAUCAACUAGAUCCUUGUUACCUUCACAUUUGCCAUCUUUUCUAUUUCUAUGAUCAUCUAUGAUGUCUUGUAAUACUUUAUCAGUCUUUAUAUACAGUUCUUCAAGCUUAGCCUUGUCUCUACUCAUCAUUUCAAGCAGUACUCUAAUUGAAGGAUACAUAUCAGCAAUGCAAUUUCUUCCUCCUAUUUGAAUUGCUUUCUCAAUAGAUGAUGUAAAAAAUUUCUGGUGCAAGAUUUACACUUUAUUAUUCUUAACUAUUUCUUGAGUGGAGUAGUGAUACACACCUGCUUGUUUAUCAGCAGUCAUGGAGAAUGAUGGCAAAGACUCGUAUAAGAAUGGUGAUCAAUAUGAGGAUCUAAGUGUUGAGUAUGAGUGCAGUUCCGAUGAAAAUGAUGAUAUGGUGGAUGUAACGGUAGAUAAAGCAGAGGCAGAUCUAAUUAAUGUUGAUGGUUUUGAAAAGUUGAUAACUGAGUUGACCAUCGAAGACAUAUGGGGAUUGGUGUUUGAUACAGAAUCUCAAGUUUGUGAAUUUUAUGGCAAAUAUGCCAAGUGCUAUGAAUUUGUGUCUCGAAAAGACUUGAAGACACAUAGCACCUUUGUACUAUCGAAGGAGAAAGUGAUUUUUACUAAAGCGUCUAAAGUAAUGAUUGUCGGGUAUGGGUGGCAACCUGGAUGACAAACUAUAAGAAGGCGUAUAGUUAUACAAUAAAUGUUAAUGAUGGUACAAGGAUGCGACUUGCGUUGGAUUUGAUUCUAAGGCCCCACAACUUGAUGCUGCAUAAUGUCAUUGACUCUGCUAGCAGGAAUUACAAUAAGUAUAAUCAAAAGGAUUCAAACAAAAAUUAAAAAAUCGUAAUUGUCAUGUAGACAUGUUUGGUUUAUAUUAAGAUUUGUUAGUUUCAUCUCUUUUACUUUAAAAAUUAUUAUGCACUAUAUUUUCUAUAGAGUCUUUAAAAAUUCAUGUUUCUAUCUUUAGUGCAAUUAUAUUUGAAUUUAGAUGAAAUUCACUGUGAUGUAAGCUAGCCAAAUCCUCGUA